rnacentral:rRNA from 1 species
UACGGAGGGUGCAAGCGUUAUCCGGAUUCACUGGGUUUAAAGGGUGCGUAGGUGGGCAGGUAAGUCAGUGGUGAAAUCUCCGAGCUUAACUCGGAAACUGCCGUUGAUACUAUUUGUCUUGAAUAUUGUGGAGGUAAGCGGAAUAUGUCAUGUAGCGGUGAAAUGCUUAGAUAUGACAUAGAACACCAAUUGCGAAGGCAGCUGACGACACAACGAUUGACGCUGAGGCACGAAAGCGUGGGGAUCAAACAGG